ensembl:snoRNA
UAACACAUCCAUCAGCGCAGCUGUUCUUAUAUGACAGUUGUGGCCUUCCUCUGUGGGAAAGAAACUGUUAACACAGUUAAAUACCUCCUUCUUAGCAAAACAGAAAGUGGAUAUAUGUGUGACAGACAAAA